UGCCACUCCGUGAACAUUAUUGUAGUUCACAUGCCACCAUUACAUUUUUAUGAUUAUCUUCUCUUCACGGGGGAUCAAUGUUUGGUGGUGGGAUCAUGUGCAAAAGAAUUUAAAAAGAGAAGGAGGCUAGGGAGAAGGGGGCUGCCGCGAAGAAGAAAGGGAGGAGGAAGCUCUGAACACAUCACAACAGUAAGAAGAAGAGAUACAAGAUCAAAUUUUUUUUAAAAAGCUACGGAGAGGGAGACGAGCGUUUAGAAGAGUUGCUGGAAGAGGAGAACCUAAUUAAUGUUGAAGUGAAGACCGAGCAGUGAGACCGCUCGGCCAGUAGUGUGAUUGUUGAACUGAGUGGUCGUUCGAUCACCUCUUGUUUUCGUUAAGUUUAAAUUCGACCGUUCGGUAAUUGUUUCUGUAAACCGUUCGGUCAGAUUUUUCUUGUACGUUCGGUUUUAAUUGUAAACUCUUGUGUGGACGUGCAGUUGUGCACGUUCGUCCCUUAAUGUUGUACUGUACUCAAGGACGUUCGUCCUUGGUCAUUCGUUCGUUUUUAAUUUUUAGUGGAAAAACUGUACUGAAUUAUUAUUAAAUGUGAUUUCUGAAUUUAUAGUUAUGACUGUA